rnacentral:rRNA from 1 species
UACGUAGGCAGCAAGCGUUGUUCGGAAUUACUGGGCGUAAAGAGUGUGUAGGCGGUGCUCUAAGUCUGUUGUGAAAUCUCCCGGCUUAACUGGGAGGGUGCGGCGGAGACUGGAGUGCUAGAGUAUGGGAGAGGUAAGCGGAAUUCCUGGUGUAGCGGUGAAAUGCGUAGAUAUCAGGAGGAACACCUGUGGUGUAGACAGCUUACUGGACCACGACUGACGCUGAGACACGAAAGCGUGGGUAGCAAACAGG